ensembl:lncRNA
CGAGGCUAAACAGGCAGUGACAUAGAAUCUGUGGUCGGGGCUAAACAGGCAGUGAUAUAGAAUCUGUGGUCGGGUCUAAACAGGCAGUGAUAUAGAAUCUGUGGUCGGGGCUAAACAGGCAGUGAUAUAGAAUCUGUGGUUGGGUCUAAAGAGGCAGUGAUAUAGAAUCGAUGGUCGGGGCUAAACAGGCAGUGAUAUAGAAUCUGUGGUCGGGUCUAAACAGGCAGUGAUAUAGAAUCUGUGGUUGGGUCUAAAGAGGCAGUGAUAUAGAAUCGAUGGGCGAGGCUAAACAGGCAGUGAUAUAGAAUCUGUGGUCGGGGCUAAAUAGGUGUAACCCCUCUCUCCCGGGUCCACACCGCCACACCUCGUACUUGCUCCGAGUGGGCCUAAAACCCGGGUCUCCGGCAUGGGAGACGGAUGCACUAACAAGGAGGCUAAAUGACUGCAGCCACCAGUGUCAGUCGCUAGUGCGUCUCUGGAGAUCAGGGGAGUGAGGUUUACCUGCACAGCACCUACUCGCUGGCCUCCGUUAGACUCAACCCCCUAAACCUCAC